rnacentral:rRNA from 1 species
UACAGAGGUCCCAAGCGUUGUUCGGAUUCACUGGGCGUAAAGCGCGGGCAGGCGGCUCGAUGCGUCCGAUGUGAAAUCCCCCGGCUCAACCGGGAGAGGCCAUUGGAAACGGUCGGGCUGGAGGGCAGUAGAGGCAGGCGGAAUUCCGGGUGGAGUGGUGAAAUGCGUAGAGAUCCGGAGGAACACCAGAGGCGAAGGCGGCCUGCUGGGCUGCACCUGACGCUGAGCCGCGAAAGCCAGGGGAGCGAACGGG